rnacentral:tRNA from 1 species
AAGGGUAUAGCUCAGUGGUAGAGCACGUGCUCAGCAUGCAUGAGGUCCUGGGUUCAAUCCCCAGUCCCUCCA